rnacentral:rRNA from 1 species
ACCUGACGAGCACGCGCGUGAGUGAAGAAGGCUUUCGGAUCGUAAAGCUCUGUUGUAAGGGAAGAACGGGUGUGAGAGUGGAAAAUUCACGCUGGGCCGGUACCUACCCAAAAGGGGCCGGUUAAUACCUGGCCACCGCCCCCGGUAUUAAGCGUAC